GCAUCACGGAGGGAGGAUGAAGAGAGGCGACGUCGUCGUGCACGGCCAUGGAUUCCUCCUCUUCGCGCUGGUCGUCCUUUUCCUCGUCACUUGUUUUCUCCUACCACCGGCUGCCGACGCACGAGCGGCUCCGUCGGGGAAGAAAGACAACUCGGCGUCUGCCGAAACUGGCGUAGCGGGAGGCGUCGUCAAAACGUACCCAGCCAUGUCAACCAGAAAACUACAGUCGUCAUGCCCACCAAAUACCCCGAUCAGCUACUGCGCAUUAAAUCCUAACCUUCCUGUGCCAGUUCCGCCUUCGCCAUGCCGACGAAACGGGGUUUACGGCUGCUCGCCACGUCGUUCGCCUCAGCCUCCGCCUCCGCCUCCGCCGCCAUGACAGGCUAUAUAUAUAUCCUGCGGUGGUAUUGAGCUGAAUCGAGAUACGUACGUCCGUGUCGUGCAGAUCCUUGGACGAGAAACAAGUUGAAGAAAGUAGUAGCUAAACAUAAUAAGAAUAAAUUCGCUAGCUGGA